AAUUCUCUGCGUUUUCGGAUGGCAUGAACUCUGAGAUGAUCUUUCUCUUCACAAAUUCUGAAUCGAUUCGUAAGUGAAGUCAAAUCAAAACGCCACCGUGGACCGAACCACCGACAGGGCCACCGGACUUUUCCUCUGCCGUAGAGAUCUCUCGCCGGAAGUCCGUCAUCUUCACCGUGAAGGGCACUCUCAGUCGGCGUCCGAAUGAAAAACAGGCAUCGAUCAGUUACGUUUGUCAGAUAAAAAGUUGUCUUCUAUCAGUUUUAUGUCAGAAAUAUCAUAAGUUGCAGAACAGUUACAUGACGUGUAUGUAUAUAUGUGUGUGUGUUAUAUACUACCUGCAAUAAGAUACGUCUGCUCGUCGCUCAUUACACCAAAAUCUAAAAAUGGAACCAACAGAUAGACCGGAAACAAGUAACAUGUAAGGAAAAAAAAUGGAUCUGGGUAUGAGGAAAUCAUCAUCAUCAUCAUCCUCAACGAGGAUCCAAAUCGGUAAUCGAAUUGGCAUCCACAGAACAAGAAA